GAUGAACGCUGGCGGCGUGCCUAAUACAUGCAAGUCGAACGCAUUGAGAAAAGUGCUUGCACUUUUCAAUUUGAGUGGCGAACGGGUGAGUAACACGUGGGCAACCUACCUGAUAGCGGGGGAUAACGAGUGGAAACAUUCGCUAAUACCGCAUAACAAUAGAGAAGGCAUCUUCUUUAUCUAAAAGGCGCUUUCAAGCGUCACUAUCAGAUGGGCCCGCGGUGCAUUAGUUAGUUGGUGGGGUGAAGGCCUACCAAGACGAUGAUGCAUAGCCGAGUUGAGAGACUGAUCGGCCACAUUGGGACUGAGACACGGCCCAAACUCCUACGGGAGGCUGCAGUAGGGAAUCUUCCACAAUGGACGAAAGUCUGAUGGAGCAACGCCGCGUGUGUGAUGAAGGCUUUCGGGUCGUAAAGCACUGUUGUAUGGGAAGAAAUGCUAGGCCAGGAAAUGAGCUUAGUUUGACGGUACCAUACCAGAAAGGGACGGCUAAAUACGUGCCAGCCGCCGCCGUAA
rnacentral:rRNA from 1 species